CCUACGGGAGGCUGCAGUGGGGAAUAUUGGACAAUGGGGGGAACCCUGAUCCAGCCAUGCCGCGUGUGUGAAGAAGGCCCUCGGGUUGUAAAGCACUUUCAGUGAGGAAGAACGCCUGGUGGUUAAUACCCAUCAGGAAAGACAUCACUCACAGAAGAAGCACCGGCUAACUCCGUGCCAGCAGCCGCGGUAAUACGGAGGGUGCGAGCGUUAAUCGGAAUUACUGGGCGUAAAGCGCGCGUAGGUGGCUUGAUAAGCCGGUUGUGAAAGCCCCGGGCUCAACCUGGGAACGGCAUCCGGAACUGUCAAGCUAGAGUGCAGGAGAGGAAGGUAGAAUUCCCGGUGGAGCGGUGAAAUGCGUAGAGAUCGGGAGGAAUACCAGUGGCGAAGGCGGCCUUCUGGACUGACACUGACACUGAGGUGCGAAAGCGUGGGUAGCAAACAGGAUUAGAUACCCUAGUAGUC
rnacentral:rRNA from 1 species